GGCCCGCUGCACUGGGCAGCAUUAGCCCCGAGGUGGUGCUGUUGUACAGCCGCGUUCUCUGUCUAGUCCGGCCGCUGGGCUGGGCGCGCCGCAGCUGUCCCGCCAGCCGCAGAGCCCUGGAGCGGGAGCGGCUCUCUGCUUUUAACAGCCAUCGUCCCAACUGUGAACUAGGGCAGCCUGCGGUGGCUCCUCUAGUCUGGAGACACAGUGGGACAUUAACUGUAACAGAGGUCUGAAUUACUCAGUUCAUCUCAGUAGAGAGCUGGUGGUAAAGUUUAACAAUAACAAGCGAAAAAGUGCUAUUUAAAUGCUGAUCAUUCAGUAGAAGUAUCCAACAUGUCUGGAUUCAUUUGGAAUUGUAUUCUACAAGAAUUAAAAUGUCCUCUACAAAACCCUCAAAAUCAAGAGAUUGUAAACUCAGAGGGAAGAUCUCACCAGGGAGACUGGAAGAUGUCAGGAAGACAUUUCCCUGGAAUGAAGCUACUGAAUGUGUGAAUAACAAGGACUAUCCAAGAUGAUGGAGAAAACAUAAAUGAAGAUAAAUGUACCCAUUUAUAAUCUGAGGACCUGUCUGUUAUGCUGAAACAUGUUGUGACUCUGGAGAAUGCUCACAGACUAGCUCUUUAGAAAUAACAAAAGAACUAUAAACAAAGGACUGGCAUGUCUUUCCUGGAGACACCUCAAACUGCAGGUAUACAGAAGGUGCAAGCAAGAAUUUGCAACUCAUACGUGAAGAACUGAGUGCAGAGCACUUUGUUAAGUCAUGGGGCCUUUUCCAGUAAAGUCAGGAUAUAAAAAGGGGAAACAAAGGCCCCCGGCCACCUCUCUCCUCCCACAUCUCUACUGAAACAAGAUUGCUUGAAGGACUUGGAACUGGAGAAGAUUGGUCCCAGGCUGAGAAGGGACCCCAGCCUGUGUACUAAGAACUGUGAACUGCCUGCAACAUCCAGAUGGGUGAGAAAAGUUGUGUGCUUCUAAUUUAGCCUUGGUAAAAUUUAGGAAACAGCUUGCAGUUUUUAUCUUUUAUUUCUUUUUGUAACCAAUUCUGAUCUACUAUGCCUACACUACUUAGAAUCAAGUAGACUCUAUCUUUCUGUAGUUAAUAAACUUAU